rnacentral:rRNA from 1 species
GUGGGGAAUCUUGCGCAAUGGGCGAAAGCCUGACGCAGCCAUGCCGCGUGAAUGAUGAAGGUCUUAGGAUUGUAAAAUUCUUUCACCGGGGACGAUAAUGACGGUACCCGGAGAAGAAGUCCCGGCUAACUUCGUGCCAGCAGCCGCGGUAAUACGAAGGGGGCUAGCGUUGCUCGGAAUUACUGGUCGUAAAGGUCGCGUAGGCGGACAGUUUAGUCAGAGGUGAAAGCCCAGGGCUCAACCUUGGAAUUGCCUUUGAUACUGGCUGUCUUGAGUACGGGAGAGGUGAGUGGAACUCCGAGUGUAGAGGUGAAAUUCGUAGAUAUUCGGAAGAACACCAGUGGCGAAGGCGACUCACUGGCCCAAUACUGACGCUGAGGCGCGAAAGCGUGGGGAGCAAACAGGAUUAGAAACCCUUGUAGUCC